GCGGGGGAGCACAGCAACGGGUGGAGCGUGCGGUUUAAUUGGAUUCAACGCCGGAAAUCUCACCGGAGGCGACGGUUAUAUGAAGGCCAGGCUGAUGACCUUGCCUGAUUUUUCCGAGAAGUGGUGCAUGGCCGUCGUCAGUUCGUACCGUGAGGCGUUCUGUUAAGUCAGACAACGAACGAGACCCUCAUCUUUAGUUGCUACUGGUAAGUCCGCUUAUCAGGCACACUAAAGAAACCGCUGGCGAUAAGUCAGAGGAAGGUGAGGGCAACGGUAGGUCAGUAUGCCCCGAAUCCUCCGGGCUACACGCGCGCUACAAAGGCUAGGACAAUGGGUUUCAACACCGAAAGGUGACGGUAAUCCCGAAACCUAGUCAUAGUUCGGAUUGAGGAUUGAAACUCAUCCUCAUGAAGCUGGAAUCCGUAGUAAUCGCGGGUCAACAUCCCGCGGUGAAUAUGCCCCUGCUCCUUGCACACACCGCCCGUCAAACCAUGCGAGUUGGGUCUGAGUGAGGAUAUAGUCUUUGCUAUCUUCAAACUUAGGCUUAGUAAGCGGGGUU
rnacentral:rRNA from 1 species